rnacentral:rRNA from 1 species
UUUUAUGGAGAGUUUGAUCCUGGCUCAGGAUGAACGCUGGCGGCGUGCCUAAUACAUGCAAGUCGAGCGAACGGACGAGAAGCUUGCUUCUCUGAUGUUAGCGGCGGACGGGUGAGUAACACGUGGAUAACCUACCUAUAAGACUGGGAUAACUUCGGGAAACCGGAGCUAAUACCGGAUAAUAUUUUGAAC